UUGAACGCUGGCGGCAUGCCUUACACAUGCAAGUCGAACGGUAGAGGGGCAAACCCUUGAGAGUGGCGAACGGGUGAGUAAUAUAUCGGAACGUGCCCAGUCGUGGGGGAUAACGCAGCGAAAGCUGCGCUAAUACCGCAUACGAUCUAUGGAUGAAAGCGGGGGAUCGCAAAGACCUCGCGCGAUUGGAGCGGCCGAUAUCAGAUUAGGUAGUUGGUGGGGUAAAAGCCCACC
rnacentral:rRNA from 1 species